GUCUUCUUCUUAUCCCCGCAUUCUAUCUAUUUAUAUAAAGAAAAGUUUCAACAACGAAACUACCAAAACCAACAAAUAGCAAAACAAACCCCACACCCAAAUCCAAGAGUACUACAAAGGAACCUUGAAAUAACAUUAAAUAUAAAACUAGAAAAGGAGAUCACUCCUACCUUUUGUAUCAUGGCUUAACAAGAAAAUUAGGAGAAUCCCUCCAACACCCGAAAGGCAGCGAGCUAAUUUUCCCUGCCUAGAGAGCUAAUCCCUACUGUUACAGUAGUGGGAGAAAAGAGAAAAUUAGAGGUGAAAUGCCAAUUCGCGCUGCCUGAUAGCUGGUCUUCGGGGAAAGAAGUAAAAGCUUCUCUACUCAAAGGGAAAAUUCCUACAUUUAAUAAACAGAAUUAUCCUCCUUCGAGUCAGAAAGAGGGGGGGAGACAAGCCCACCCCUCAAGAGGGAAACAACCCAAAGCGUAAACAAGACCACCCAAAGAAAGGAUAAAGUUCAACAAGUAGGCCUAAAAGCUGCCAACCUAAAAGAAAGCGUCAAAGCUCAAAAUAUUAAACCCAGAAAUACCUGGUACUAAAUCCAUUUUCGCCGCAAGUACCCGAAAGAAAUAAUGUUAAGACAAGUAAAAAGAUAUCCUCUUCUCCCUUGCCAAGAAACAAUAAAUGUUACAAACCCGAGGAGCAAAACACAAGAAACGCUCACACACCCCAUCCUACCAACCCAGGCGCAAGAGAUAAAGGACAAACAGGGAGGAAGGAACUCGGCAAACAGUGAAAAGGACUGUUUACCAAAAACAUAGCCCCUUGAACAUAUAAAGGGUCCCGCCUGCCCAGUGACCUCAAAGGUUAAACGGCCGCGGUAUCUUGACCGUGCAAAGGUAGCAUAAUCACUUGUCUUUUAAAUGGAGACCCGUAUGAACGGCAAAACCUUUUCAAACUGUCUCCCUCCCUAACCUUUUAAACUCCUUUUCACGCGAAGAAGCGUGAAUACAUCAGAAAGACGAGAAGACCCUGUCGAGCUUCAGCCAAUAAGUGAGCUAACAAAACCUAUGUGUUAACAUCACCCAAAGGCUUUGGUUGGGGUAACCAUGGAGAACAUUAAUCCUCCAGAACAAGCAGACGAACUCUCUUCCCUACUAAACGAACUAAAGAACCAGGAACUGGUAAUCGGAAAAAGUUACCGCAGGGAUAACAGCGUCAUCCCCUUUAAGAGUCCUUAUUGACAAGGGGGUUUGCGACCUCGAUGUUGGAUUGGGGCUCCCUUAGGGUGCAGAAGCUCUAAACGGUUAGACUGUUCGUCUAUUAAAGCCCUACAUGAUCUGAGUUCAGACCGACGUGAGUCAGGUCAGCUUCUAUCUUCUUUUUCGACCCCCCUAGUACGAAAGGACCGGGAAGUCCCUUUAAAUGACUACCCUCAAAAAGGAACAAAAUAGAAAAAAACAUCACCAACAAAACC
rnacentral:rRNA from 1 species